rnacentral:rRNA from 1 species
UUCCAAGCUUCGCGGCCUAUCAGCUUGUUGGUGGGGUAACGGCCCACCAAGGCUUCGACGGGUAGCCGGCCUGAGAGGGUGACCGGCCACACUGGGACUGAGACACGGCCCAGACUCCUACGGGAGGCAGCAGUGGGGAAUAUUGGACAAUGGGCGAAAGCCUGAUCCAGCAACGCCGCGUGAGGGAUGACGGCCUUCGGGUUGUAAACCUCUUUCAGCAGGGACGAAGCGCAAGUGACGGUACCUGUAGAAGAAGCACCGGCCAACUACGUGCCAGCAGCCGCGGUAAUACGUAGGGUGCGAGCGUUGUCCGGAAUUACUGGGCGUAAAGAGCUCGUAGGUGGUUUGUCGCGUUGUUCGUGAAAACUCACAGCUCAACUGUGGGCGUGCGGGCGAUACGGGCAGACUUGAGUACUGCAGGGGAGACUGGAAUUCCUGGUGUAGCGGUGGAAUGCGCAGAUAUCAGGAGGAACACCGGUGGCGAAGGCGGGUCUCUGGGCAGUAACUGACGCUGAGGAGCGAAAGCGUGGGGAGCGAACAGGAUUAGAUACCCUGGUAGUCCACGCCGUAAACGGUGGGUACUAGGUGUGGGUUUCCUUCCUUGGGAUCCGUGCCGUAGCUAACGCAUUAAGUACCCCGCCUGGGGAGUACGGAG